rnacentral:rRNA from 1 species
GGCGAACGCUGGCGGUGUGCUUAACACAUGCAAGUCGAACGGAAAGGCCCUGCUUUUGUGGGGUGCUCGAGUGGCGAACGGGUGAGUAACACGUGAGUAACCUGCCCUUGACUUUGGGAUAACUUCAGGAAACUGGGGCUAAUACCGGAUAGGAGCUCCUGCUGCAUGGUGGGGGUUGGAAAGUUUCGGCGGUUGGGGAUGGACUCGCGGCUUAUCAGCUUGUUGGUGGGGUAGUGGCUUACCAAGGCUUUGACGGGUAGCCGGCCUGAGAGGGUGACCGGGCUCAAGAGGCCUGCGGGACGCAGCAGUCUCCAACAUUAGACAAAGGGCGGGAACAUGACACAGCGGGCGCGAGUGGGUGGCGGCAACGCCCGGUUCGUAAUGACCGCUUGUUGGGAGAGAACCGCAGCCGCUUAAUACGAAGCUGUUGUGACGGUACUCGAUGAAUAAGCACCGGCUAACUACGUG